rnacentral:tRNA from 1 species
GGAGGGGUGCCGGAGCGGUUGAACGGGACGGUCUUGAAAACCGUUGUGCGCCCUAGGCGUACCGUGGGUUCGAAUCCCACCCCCUCCG